AAGUAAGACUAAUACCCAAUGAAUUCUCUAGAAGACAUCUGAAGGAGAUUAAAGAUUUAUCGGUGAUGGAUGGGGAUGCGUCUGAUUAGCUUGUUGGCGGGGUAACGGCCCACCAAGGCGACGAUCAGUAGGGGUUCUGAGAGGAAGGUCCCCCCACAUUGGAACUGAGACACGGUCCAAACUCCUACGGGAGGCAGCAGUGAGGAAUAUUGGUCAAUGGGCGAGAGCCUGAACCAGCCAAGUAGCGUGCAGGAUGACGGCCCUAUGGGUUGUAAACUGCUUUUAUAAGGGAAUAAAGUGAGCUUCGUGAGGCUUUUUGCAUGUACCUUAUGAAUAAGGACCGGCUAAUUCCGUGCCAGCAGCCGCGGUAAUACGGAAGGUCCGGGCGUUAUCCGGAUUUAUUGGGUUUAAAGGGAGCGUAGGCCGGAGAUUAAGCGUGUUGUGAAAUGUAGAUGCUCAACGUCUGCACUGCAGCGCGAACUGGUUUCCUUGAGUACGCACAAAGUGGGCGGAAUUCGUGGUGUAGCGGUGAAAUGCUUAGAUAUCACGAAGAACUCCGAUUGCGAAGGCAGCUCACUGGAGCGCAACUGACGCUGAAGCUCGAAAGUGCGGGUAUCGAACAGGAUUAGAUACCCUGGUAGUCCGCACGGUAAACGAUGGAUGCCCGCUGUUGGUCUGAAUAGGUCAGCGGCCAAGCGAAAGCAUUAAGCAUCCCACCUGGGGAGUAC
rnacentral:rRNA from 1 species